UGUCUCCUCGUCUCCACAGCGACCAGACGUCUGUGAAGCCACUGGAUGGAGGGAGUGCAAUGAGCUGUCUAUUUGCUAAUGAAUAGUACUGCUAUCCUGUGAGUGACCUGUCAGAUGUGACAGGCGAGACGUGAGGGAUUGUUCAAAGACACUAAAAAAAGCAACAACACAAAAGCCUGAGCUUCAAGAGCAUCUCCAGACCACAACAAAACAGCAGCCUGCAAGAGGAGCUGACAGGUCUCCUGAAGACGGCUAUUUCCACAUAGUGUUACUGGCACGAGCGAGGAGAAUGGCAGCCCUCGCAAGUCCACCUGUGAGUGUUUUCUGAAGAGAGGAUAGAAAAUACAAGAGGAGUGGGUGGUCACCGUGCUACUGGGUUUGUGUGGGUGAGCGUGUGUGUGCGUCUCAGUGAGCCAGCUCCCAUGCUUGGUAAAAAUCACCUAAUUUUUCACUUGAGUGGCUCUCUUUGGGCAGCCCCCCCCACCUCCAUCGACCCCUUCAGAGUAAAAUUCCUCUAGUGAGUGUGAAGACUGCACUCGCAGUGCCCCCCCACUCCCCCAGCACACACCGAGGGGCAUUGAAAAUGCAUUAACACCAAAUCAAUGGAAAACAGUGGAAAAAAAAGCAAAAAGAGAGAGGACGAAAAAAAAUCUCCUUAGCAACAUAAUCUAGAUGGCCUCACGAAAGGAGAGGGGAGAGUGAAAAGAAAGGCGAAAAGGGGAAAAGAGAAAGGGGAGGGGGUUGCUGAGCGUUUAGUGCCGAAUAAGAGACUGAACACUGAGAGGUCUUGCACACAGACAGCGACAAAAUGGAGAAUUAACACAAGAGAAACUGUUCCUAUUUAACACCAGGGGAAAAGCGACUAUAUUAACACCCUCCCAUUAGGGGGCAGGGGGGAAGAGUGGAGGCUGGGAGGACAGGAUAGACCCCUAAAAACACUCUCCCAAGGGAACAGAGAAAGUCAGCAAUAAUUGACUGUGGCUGUGUGUGUUUUUUAAUUCUUUUUAUUUGUUUUCUUCCUCAUAAUGUAUAUUUUCUUGUUUACUGCAAUAUGUCUUAUAUGUAAGAAAUUAUUUAUAUUAUUCAAAUUGGCUUAUUACUUUAAAAGUGUUAUGAAUUAUAUUAUAUUAUAUUAUAUUAUGUGACCCUUGACCACAAAACCAAUCUUAAAUCGCACAAGUAUAUUUGUAGCUAUAGCCAACAAUACAUUGUAUGGGUCAAAAUGAUAAAUUUUUCGUUUAUGCCAAAAAUCAUUAGGAUAUUAAGUAAUGAUCAUGUUCCAUGAAGAUAUUUUGUCAAUUUCCUACCAUAAAUAUAUCAAAACUUAAUUUUUUGAUUAGUAAUAUGCAUUGCUAAGGACUUAAUUUGGACAACUCUAAAGGUUAUUUUCUCAAUAUUUUGAUUUUUUUUGCACCCUCAGAUUCCAGAUAUUGAAAAAGUUGUAUCUGGCCCAAAUAUUGUCCAAACCAUACAUCAACGGAAAGCUUAUUUAUUCAGGCUUCAGAUGAUGUAUAAUUCUCAAUUUCCAAAAAUUUACCCUUAUGACUGGUUUUGUGGUCCAGGGUCACAUAUUAUAUGAUAUACAUAAGAAAUAUUUUCAUAUAUAUUUUUGCUUACUUUGGAUCACUUUAAAUGUCAUAAAAUAAUAUAAAGUCUUAAAUAAUAAGUAUAUAGUCUUAAAUAAUAUAUUUAUAUAUUAAUGAUUUUCAGAGCAUAUUAAUGAUGUCAGUGCAUGGUGUGUGUGUAUAUAUGGUUAAUCAUCUAAUUUGUAGUAUAUGUAAUAUAUAUUCUGUUUUCCUGUUUUGUUAUUGUUAUUUCUUCUCAAUUCAGUGUCUACCUUGAGUUAUGAAAGCUUGGUAUUAAACGAGUCAUUCUGGGUACUAGUUAAAUCAGUUAAGUCAGGAAGGACAUUUGAACUCCAUUUCAAAGUUCAGUUCAGCAAAUGUCCAAAUAAAUUUUAUUUAAAAAUCUCUCGAGCCAUGAGACCAGCCACCAUGUCGCUCACUAAUGGACAAGGCAGAGAGCGAAAGACAGAAGGUAGAUCCAUUAUUUUGAUUGGGGACUGAUAAAAAUGCUACACUCUGUGGAAAGAAAAGGAAGGAUGUAUUCCACAAAUGUAGGUAUUCCCAAUUCAAUUAGUUUGGUGGUGGACACUGGUUACCAGUCUCUAUGUAAAUGACCUUUAACCUCUACUACAUGAUCUGGUCAAUGGUGGGAGGGUUAGACUUAAUUAGGAGGUCAUUAAAACCUGCCCCCUGCAAGCCAUUAGCUUUAUAACUGCCCACACACAUACCCACAGCUGACCCACGGCUGUAAUGAGCCAGUUCAGGCAACUUCAUCAAGAAACGUGUUGGAUUCUUUCCGUUUCACGGCAUCUGCACAGAUCAGAAUCAAGGUCUAAUACCAAUAAGUGAAGAUUAAUUUGGUGGUAUUAUUUCACUUCAGUCGCUUGAAUCCUGUUAUUAAAUGGUGAAGUAACAUGCCAUUGAUUGAUGAAGUGGAAUCAUGCGAACUGAAAUGUCGAACUAGAAUCAUAUUUUUAAAAGGGAAAAACACAUAUUUUCCAGCUGAGUGUUUCUGGAGCGUUCGGGCCAUUAUUUUCUAGGCUGCAUUAAAUUACUGUAGCAAAAUGUGUUCCCAUGCUCUCUGCCAAGCUGAGGUAGGAUAAAAUGAAGAAUAAAUUUGCACGUUUAGCAUAAGAAGCUUUAUAAACCUUUAUGUGCAUGUUUAUAGAGAAAAAAAGCUAAAAGUUGGGCAACCAAAUUUGGGGUUAAUGGGAAAAGCAAUGGCGUUCAGGUGAAGAUUUCCUGGCCGAAUGGGAAUCUGGCGCUCGGAGGGCCCAUCUAAAGACUGAAAGAUUAAUAUAAAACAAGGGAGACUGAAUGAGAAGGAGAGAAUAAGUGAGAGCCGACAACUUCAUCUACAGAGGCAUUAACAAAGACAGUACAAAGGCGAAAGGAGAGAAAAAGGGAGAGAGAAAAGGGCCAGAGGUUAGCGAAGACAGAGAGAGAUGGAAAAACAGCGAGAGAGAGACAAGGCGUAAAAGAGGGAGAAAAGAGAGCGACUGAUGUAGAUAAACAGUGAAGAAAAGGAGCGAAAGAGAGAUUAAUAAAGAGGCAGAAGUGGAGAAAAAUAGAAACUGAGGGAGAAAGAAGGGACUCCAGCGACUCUCUUUGUCCCGAUCGCCGAUUUCACACCGACACAAAGGGCUCGGUGGACGUUUCAUCCUUUCAUUAACGUUUCUCUGCCGUUUAUUCAGCGUUAGUCUGUGACGUUAUGAAGUCAGCCCCAUUCAGGCCACAUUAUAAAUCACCUCCGCCGCUGCAGAGCGUGGCCAAUCGGCCAAUUACGCAGUGUGGCCGCCCCUGAACACGCAGGACAAUGGCAUCACAAGGCCAAUAAACAAGCCUCUAAUAGGGCGGCGGGGAAAACGCGCCCAAAACAGGCCCCAACCGCCCGCCGCACGCACGUAUUCCAUCAUCCCCAUGCCCUCGCAUUUCCUCCCGCUAAAGCUAGCGCACACACACAGCUGUGGAGGGAGCGAGGCAGGGGCAGAAGGGUAGCACUGGCACACCGAGAGAAAAAUGACCCAGCGCCAGUGCGCCAUGCAAACCCCCCCAUGGCCCUUUUCAGGCUGGGAGCCAGAACAAAAGCAUACUGUUGCCAUACUGUGACGUUCAUGCUAGCCAGUUAGCACAGCUGCAAGAGCUCACCUUGCGCUAGCGACUAUUGUUGGCCUGUUUUAGAGCCUCUUCCAUCCAUCUUCUGGACUGGAGGAGACAAAUACAGACAGAGAGAGAGAGAGAGCUCGGCUGAGAGAAAGUGGUCGGGUGAUGCAGCUGCAGCGGGAAUGAAUACGAGCGUAAGGUGAAAAGGGGAAGACUGGAGAGACGGAGAGAGAGGUGUCAAUGUAACAGACCACAGGGUGGUCCCACCCACUCACUUACAGAGCAGCUGCAGUUAAACAGUAACUAGAGAGAUCAACUGGUUGGCGAUAUUUUGAACUUUUUGAACUUUAGAACAAUUUUUUUUUUUUUUAAACUGUUGGAUUAAAAGGAAUGUUCCAGGUUCAAAACAAAGUUUUUUUUUUUUGCAUUUUGUUACCACACACAAAAAUCACUUGUCACUAGUUUUCUUUAGAGGAAAACAAAAAUAGAGGUUACGGUGAGGUGCUUACAAUAUAUAUAUAUGGUCACACUUUAUUUUAAGGUUCAAUUCCCUUUAUUAACAAACCAUUAACUACCAUUAACUAAUAACUAAUAAACUCCUAAUUUGCUGAUUAUUAAUAGUUUGUGAGAUAGUUGUUAAGUUUAGGUAUUGGGUAGGGUUAGGGAUGUAGAAUAUGGUCAUGCAGAAUAUGCACUUUAUAAGUAUUAAUAAACAGCCAGUAUGUUCAUAAUAGGCAUGAUAAUACACUAUUAGUCAAUAGUGAGAAUUGGUCCCUGUGCUAUAUAUCACAGUGUCACUAUAUAUUGUUUUAAAAAUCUUAUUUUGAAAGUGAUUCCAACAAUAUCGUUCCUCUGUGUCAUUACAUUUAUAAUUGUGGCAUGAACUCCACUAUUCUCACUAAAUUAGAUUAUUCAAAUUUCAUAGUUAUACUUAUUGUUAUAGUCAUUGUUCUUGGUGUGAACAGGUCUGAAAUGUUUGUAUUAUUUGAGCUGUAUAGUUGUCAUUUAUACAGUUAUUUUAAGGUUUAAGGUGUUCUGUUGUCAUUGUCAAAAAAACAUUACACAGAAAAGGUUAGCAAGUGAUUUUUUCACACCGCAUUAUUUACAUCUUGUGGCUUUACUAUUGAACAGUAAGUAUGGUCACACUUUAUUAUAAAGUCCAAUUCUCGCCAUUAACAACCCAUUAACAACGACUUUUGUUUCAAUAAACUCCCAAUUUGUUGCUUAUAAAUAGUUUGUAAGGUAGUUGUUACGUUUAGGUAUUAGGGAUGUAGAAUAUGGUCUUGCAGAAUAUGUGCUUUAUAAGUACUAAUAAACAGCCAAUAUGUUAAUAAUAGGCAUGCUAAUAAGCAACUAGUUAUUAGUGAGAAUUGGUCCCUACACUAAAAUGUUACCGUAAGUAUUUUAAAGUUUCACUGAAAAUGCCUCACUAUAACCCAGUUUUUAAAGAAAAGGAGGGACACACAGAUAAUACUUGCAUCAUUUUUUGUGGUAAUCAACAGUACGGCACAAAUGCUGUCACUAAAGCUUAGCUUCUACUGAACCUUGAAAUGAAAGCGCAGGGGUGCCCGCCGUCGGCCCAGCUGCAAGUGUCGAAAUCAGAGACAAAGGUCAUCUGCACUACACGCUAUCCUCAUGAACCCUCCCCGUGUACCAACAACGCUUGCAGAAAAAAACCCACCGUCACGAAUCAGCAGUGCCCCGUCCUCUUACACCCAUACAGACUUCAUCAACGGCCCACGUACCUCCGUGAAUGCUCCCUCUCUAGAUGCUCUCGCUGAAGUGUCUGCAGCUGCUAAGAGAAUGUUAGUGUCAUCCAUUGGUUGAGUGAGUCUAAUAGCACUUGGUACUAUGACACUAAAUACCCCUCGCACAAUUCUACCUUACUCAUUAAAAAGACCCAAGGCACGUUACUGACCCACUAAAUAUCUCUGCCACAAUGCCACUUGCACACGAAAUUUCCACGAUACAAAAACACUCGUGCACGAAAUCUUUCCAAUGCAUUUCUAAAAUGCCCACUCGAAUAAAUCACCCUGUAGGCAAUACCAGCUAAACAAUACAACUUCACGUUCUUAGAUCUCUAGGUUCCAGCCAUCCAUUGUGUCUGUACAAAAAUUUAACUUGUUUAUUUUUUUUAUUUGUAUUUUUUUUAAAUAAAGCCAUUUUUAAAGUAUAGUUUGCAUGUGUUUGGAUAUAUCCAACAAAUUUAUAAAUGGCUUUAAGAAAAGUCAUUAAGAUAAAAACAGAGGUGCACCAAUAUUAUAAUAUUUUGCUAAAACCAACUAAUGAGCCAGAUAAUUAUUUUCUUGCCAUAACCGAUAACCAGUAAAUCACCAAUAUUGCCAAAAUUAAAAAUACAGCUUUUCUGUAUUUUUUAUCUUUCUUUUGCAUAUUUUUAUAUGCAAUUCAUUUUUUUUCUUUAAAAAAUCUUUGCUAUACUCUAUUUAUUAUUAUUAUUAUUACUGUUGUUAUUAUUAUUAUUAUUAUUAUUUAAUUUUCAGGCAAUGUAUAAUUCUUUGAUGUCUAAACGUAUGCUGUUGUUGUACAUAUAACUUAAGAAUAAACAAUAAAAAUGAAAAAAAUAAAAAUAAAUAAAUGAAUUGAAAAACUUCAAAUCAAUCCUUUUAAAUGCUACCAGUGAACAUGUGCAUUAACAUUAUAUUGUACGGUAUCAAAAUGGAUUUUCAUUGUGAGAUUUUCUAAAAAUUACAUUUAACAGUGUUAUUAAAUAAUUGGAGGGAGUUUUUAAAGAUUAACUUUGAGUGAUUAUUAUGACAGCAUGUAAAAAUAAUCUACUUGUAAAAACAGUGCAAAUGAACAGCACAAUUAAAUAUCCUGUAUUAAAUAUACACAUAAAAAAAGAACAUACAUAAUAUAUCGUGCAUCCCUAAACAAAACUGUAACAAUCAUUGUCAGAUCAUUUGCUGAUUGUAAAUGUGGCAUUUUGGACACAAUCACGUAGCGACAUUUCCCAACUCUUCCGUUUUGCUCUCUCUCUGUCUUUGUCUUUUUGUAUCUGUCUCUCUAACCCAUGUCCCAUUUACAAACACAUUUCAGCGGGGCAACUUGAUUACCAUUCAGGUGGACGUCUGGCUGCAGCGUGUACUUGUUGGAAGAGCUCUUUGGAGUUGCUUAGAGAAGUGUGUGUGUGUGGUUGGAGGGGGUGGUGGUGCUGAGGGAUCGAUUUGAUUCUAAUCGGACCAUGAAAAGAACAUGAUCUAACUGCUUUCAGCUGGGAGUACAUUUGGGCCCUCUCCACUAUUUGCUCUCCCUCUCUACUCCCCUUUUCCUUUCUUUGACGAGCUCUCUCGCUCUGUCUCUCGCUCUUUGACACACAAUGUCUCUGGCCGAUUCAAAAAGCCUUGAAUGUCUCAUUAAUGACUUUGUGAAUACUGGGGUAGAGAGAUUUGAGGAUGGACGUGGGGUGGGAGGGAGAAAAAACAGGGGUGGAAAGAAAAGGGUGGAGAAAGCGUAAAAAAUUCCAGGGUUGUUUAAAAGACUGGCUAAGAUCUUUGCCAUGGAUUAUCAUGACAGCGUUUUAGAGGCUCAGUGGGGUUGACCCCUUUGAAUGCCUGUGUAUUUGGCCGGAUAGACACUCGCUCACUGACACUGACUGAAAGUUUGUCUUCUUUCUGCAUUCUCCUCCAGCGUCCCGUCUCAGCUUUUGCAGUCUUUUCUGUGUCUGUCUCUCAAAUUUUAUAUCCCCAUUCCCAUCUUCCAUUGUCACUCUCUCUUUCUCUCUCUGCCUCCCAUAGUUCACUCCCGUCCUUCCAUCCACUUGUCAUUGGGUGAAAAAUAUCUCCUCACUCUGUGAUUCUCUCUCAGGAUAAAUCUGUUAAUGUUCCCUCUGCUUUUCAGCCGCUCCUGUCAUCAGGAUAGUUAACACAACACUGAGGGCCAGAAGUCAGAUGCCAAAGGUCAAAGGUCAAGGUGGUCCUGAGGCUCUCUUUUUCUGAAUUUCUAUUUUAUUUGACUUUUUUCUGUGAAUACUUCACACAUGGUAAUAGUAGAGACAAACGGUAAGAAGUAAAUUAUUUUUCGUGCCCCAACUCAAAGCAGAUAUGCUAUUCAAUAGACAUGCUUAUAAUACAUUACAGAAAUAAAUAGCAAGUGUUAAGGAUAGAUAAAUAGAAACAUUUUAUUAUUAUUAUUAUUAUUAUUAUUUAGUGCUGUCAAAUCAGUUAA